rnacentral:sRNA from 1 species
CAGUAACGGCGAGUGAAGCGGCAAGAGCUCAAAUUUGAAAUCUGGCCCCUCCGGGGUCCGAGUUGUAAUUUGCAGAGGAUGCUUCGGGUGCGGCCCCUGUCUAAGUGCCCUGGAACGGGCCGUCAGAGAGGGUGAGAAUCCCGUCUUGGGCAGGGUGCCCGUGCCCGUGUGAAGCUCCUUCGACGAGUCGAGUUGUUUGGGAAUGCAGCUCUAAAUGGGUGGUAAAUUUCAUCUAAAGCUAAAUACCGGCCGGAGACCGAUAGCGCACAAGUAGAGUGAUCGAAAGAUGAAAAGCACUUUGAAAAGAGAGUUAAACAGCACGUGAAAUUGUUGAAAGGGAAGCGCUUGCGACCAGACUCGGCCCCGGGGUUCAGCCAGCACUCGUGCUGGGUACUUCCCCGGGGGCGGGCCAGCGUCGGUUUGGGCGGCCGGUCAAAGGCCCCAGGAAUGUAUCGCCCUCCGGGGUUGUCUUAUAGCCUGGGGUGCAAUGCGCCAGCCCGGACCGAGGAACGCGCUUCGGCACGGACGCUGGCGUAAUGGUCGCAAACGACCCGUCUUGAAACACGGACCAAGGAGUCUAACAUCUACGCGAGUGUUCGGGUGUCAAACCCGUACGCGCAGUGAAAGCGAACGGGAGGUGGGAGCCCCUUUAGGGGCGCACCAUCGACCGAUCCUGAUGUCUUCGGAUGGAUUUGAGUAAGAGCGUAGCUGUGGGGACCCGAAAGAUGGUGAACUAUGCCUGAAUAGGGCGAAGCCAGAGGAAACUCUGGUGGAGGCUCGCAGCGGUUCUGACGUGCAAAUCGAUCGUCAAAUUUGGGUAUAGGGGCGAAAGACUAAUCGAACCAUC